UACGGAGGGGCUAGCGUUGCUCGGAAUGACUGGGCGUAAAGGGCGCGUAGGCGGCUUGCACCGUCAGAUGUGAAAUUCCUGGGCUUAACCUGGGGGCUGCAUUUGAUACGUGUGGGCUUGAGUGCGGAAGAGGGUCGUGGAAUUCCCAGUGUAGAGGUGAAAUUCGUAGAUAUUGGGAAGAACACCGGUGGCGAAGGCGGCGACCUGGUCCGUGACUGACGCUGAGGCGCGAAGCGUGGGGAGCAAACAGG
rnacentral:rRNA from 1 species